GUAUAAUGGCGGGGUUUUGGUGCCCGCGUUCAUGUCCAUGAGCGCAGUUAAACGGGAAACACGAUGCCGCGCUCGCGGCGAACGUGUGCUGCCCCCGCAACGGUAAGCAAGUGUCGCCCCUCCCGACAGGACGCGGGCGACAAGCUAUCUCUGACAACCACUGUGCUUGCAAUCAUCGAGCAUGGGAAGGUGGGAUAGCCGCACUUGCCAGCCCGGAUACCGGCCAGGACAGGUGGAAGUGU
rnacentral:ncRNA from 2 species